rnacentral:rRNA from 1 species
UGGGGAAUAUUGCACAAUGGGCGAAAGCCUGAUGCAGCAACGCCGCGUGAGUGAUGACGGUCUUCGGAUUGUAAAGCUCUGUCUUUGGGGACGAUAAUGACGGUACCCAAGGAGGAAGCCACGGCUAACUACGUGCCAGCAGCCGCGGCAAUACAUAGGUGGCAAGCGUUGUCCGGAUUUACUGGGCGUAAAGGGUGCGUAGGCGGACCUUUAAGUGAGAUGUGAAAUCCCCGAGCUUAACUUGGGGGCUGCAUUUCAAACUGGAGGUUUAGAGUGCAGGAGAGGAGAGUGGAAUUCCUAGUGUAGCGGUGAAAUGCGUAGAGAUUAGGAAGAACACCAGUGGCGAAGGCGACUCUCUGGACUGUAACUGACGCUGAGGCACGAAAGCGUGGGGAGCAAACAG